CACGUAGGGCGCAAGCGUUGUCCGGAAUUAUUGGGCGUAAAGAGCUCGUAGGCGGUCUGUUGCGUCCGCUGUGAAAACCCGGGGCUUAACCCCUGGCUUGCAGUGGAUACGGACAGACUAGAGGUAGGUAGGGGAGAAUGGAAUUCCCGGUGUAGCGGUGAAAUGCGCAGAUAUCAGGAAGAACACCCGUGGCUAAGGCGGCUCUCUAGUACGGUACUGACGCUGAGACGCGAAAGCGUGGGGAGCGAACAGG
rnacentral:rRNA from 1 species